rnacentral:rRNA from 1 species
UGGGGGAUAUUGCACAAUGGGCGAAAGCCUGAUGCAGCGACGCCGCGUGGGGGAUGAAGGCUUUCGGGUUGUAAACCUCUUUCGCUAUCGAACAAGGCCCGCUUAGGGUGGGUUGAUGGUAGGUGGAGAAGAAGCGCCGGCUAACUACGUGCCAGCAGCCGCGGUAAUACGUAGGGCGCGAGCGUUGUCCGGAAUUAUUGGGCGUAAAGGGCUUGUAGGCGGCUUGUUGCGCCUGCUGUGAAAACGCGGGGCUUAACUUCGCGCGUGCAGUGGGUACGGGCAGGCUUGAGUGUGGUAGGGGUGACUGGAAUUCCAGGUGUAGCGGUGGAAUGCGCAGAUAUCUGGAGGAACACCGAUGGCGAAGGCAGGUCACUGGGCCAUUACUGACGCUGAGGAGCGAAAGCAUGGGUAGCGAACAGG